rnacentral:sRNA from 1 species
UGGCCGCGACUUUCCAACGGUCCAGCCACU